AGGAUGAACGCUAGCGGCAGGCCUAAUACAUGCAAGUCAAGGGGGCAGCAAUGUCACCGGCGGACGGGUGCGUAACGCGUACACAACAUACCUUUAAGCGGGGCAUAGCAUUGGGAAACUGGUGGUAAUACCCCAUAACAUUGCGCUUCGGCAUUGAGGUGCAAUUAAAGUUACGGCGCUUAGAGAUUGGGUGUGCGUCUGAUUAGCUAGUUGGCGGGGUAAAGCCCACCAAGGCGACGAUCAGUAGGGGGUGUGAGAGCAUGACCCCCCACAUGGGUACUGAGACACGGACCCAACUCCUACGGGAGGCAG
rnacentral:rRNA from 1 species